rnacentral:lncRNA from 1 species
AGACGUGUCCGGGUCGUUUGCUCUUAAAGGGGCCGGCGCUCUACCUGGCGAAGCCACCCAGCCCUGGUAGUGGAGAGGCUUGGGACUAGAGGAUGAGAUUCGGCCUCAUACUCCGCGCUGUCGUCCUCGCUGGAGCCUGCUGUCUGCGCCCUGCAGAAGUCCUGACGGCGGCGUACCCCGGGAGACCCCGGCAGCCCCGAGAAGCCAGCCGCCGCCGUCAUUCCAGUCAGAAAAAUGGCCUGCGGGGCACGCGCCGGUGCGCCCUGCCAACCACGUCCGGACUUUGGACUUUAGACAGGAAGGCGUCCCGGCUCAGCUGUGGUUUGGUCAGAGUUUAACCUGUCCCACGCAAGAGAACCUCGAUCUGGUUUCCUCGCUUACCUGAGUCACCUGGGCACUUGUUAGGCCCAGCUGUCUUCAGUUCCAUUAGCGGCCAGUUACCCAAAUGCUAAAUCAAAUCCCCGUGGACCUUGGCCUGGCGCGGUGCGU